ACACCCCCCCCUCGCUCGCACUGUUUACGAAAUUGCAUAGUUCCCAACUGAGGUAAGUCUCGUUCGUAAUACCCCCGCGGGUCCAUGGUCAAAUCUAUUAGUUUUAUAUUCAUUGAAUAAUAGUCUUUUCUUAUACAUAGAAAAAUCUUCUUCUUCUUAUCUUCAUCUUUAUAAUUACAAUAAAUAUAAUUUUUUUGGUAGGUAUUAUUUUUAAUAUUCAAUAUAAAAGAUUUUUGAUAAGGCACAAUUUGGAUUAUAGAUUAUAAACACAAGGUAAUAAGACCAAAUAAAUAAAUAGUGUGUGACGUUUCGGUAACAGCGUUGUUACCAUCUUCAGACAAAAGUACUGAAUCUGAAGAUGGUAACAACGCUGUUACCAAAACGUCACACACUAUUUAUUUAUUUGGAUUUAGUCUUAUUACCUUGUGUAAAUGAUUUUUAUAAUAUUUUAUAGUUAUAUAAUAUUUUGAAUUUAUUAGAGUGAAGAUACGUAUGAUCAAAAUAACAAAUAAUAAAGAAGUGUUUUGGAGAUGCAAUUUAAGAAUACAUAUUAAUAAGAUGCCCUUGGUGAAGGGGAAAAAAUAAAUCUUAGAAAAAAACGUUAAUUUUUCAUCGAUGAAUAGAAAUAUAUAAAGCUAAUAUAGGCAAAAUGUAAUAUACUAAAUGUAAAAUAUUCUCUAAUUUUCUGUGCUUUUUUUCAAAUAAUUGUUUACGAGAGGGAGUCUAAGAAGUGAACUAAACAUAAAAGACGUAUGUAAAAAGUCGUUGAUGGAUUUAUGAUUUUUUUUUUGUUUUCAAAAUAUUUCGAGGGAUUGUUCUCUCUUUUUCAAUUCAAGGCAAACAAAAAAACUUUAAAAUAAUUGACAAAUUCUUAUAGAUUGACAAAAUUAAUACUAUCAUUGGUCAAAAUUUAAAAAAGUUGAAAAAUUAAAAGAAUAAUAUUUUUUUAAAGUUUGACCAUUGACAAUGUUGUUUCCUUGCGAUCUACAAGGAUUUGUAAAUGACUGUUACGUGUUUAGUUCAAUAAAUUGAAAAAGAGAAAGAAAUCCAUCGAAAUAUUUGGAAACACAAAAUUGAUUUUCUUUCACAGAUCCAAGUACGCUUUUUUUAUAUACUUGUAUUCAAUGGGAAUCACCUUUUGACUCAAACUUAAACAUAGGGAAAAACCUAUCUCGAACUGAAAGAUAUCGAAAUGUUUUAAAUUCUUGGAAGGUUUAAUUUCAUAGUUUCGUUUCAGAUGAAAGUGAAUGAGUUGUUGACCGAAAUGUCGUGAAAAAAAAAAGGUUUAUUCCGAUAGAUGGCGUAAGCCAUCAGCAACUUUUAGUUGCACGAUCAGGAAAAAAUGUUCUUUUUUCUUAAAAAGAACUUUGUUUGGUUGAUACAUUCAUCUUCAAUAUAGUAAAUCAGGUUUGGCAGAAUGAUUAGCUGGUUGUUUUCUUUGUGAAUUACGCUAAAAUCUGAACGUUUCUCUUUUAUUAAAAAUAAAAUUGGGUUACCAGCUUUCGACCCACAGCUCUUCAUCAAUGCCCUGUGUGUAAUAGUGUCUCAUUAUUUGUCCUAUUUAUCAUCGCAGGGAGGACUGUAGGUAGUACACCUAUCCCCCGAUUUACACGGUAGAUACGUUCCUGAGAAAAACGUGUAAAUCGAAAAUUAAAAAUUUUCGCGAAAUUUUUAUGCGAAGAAAUACAGACACAGUGUGCGUGUGUAGCAAGUCAUCACAUAAGCUCGGGAUUCCUCGUGAGAGGUGUACACAGCGCAUGUGUUCAAUCACAAUAGCAUUUAGUAUAGUGCGAUAAAAAAAAAACUUAUUUGGAAAACCGUGUAAAAGCGAAAACGUGUAAAACAAGUACCGUGUAAAUCGAGGGAUAGGUGUAUAUUGAUUUUUAAAA